rnacentral:lncRNA from 1 species
UUAUCACUGAGAAGUGGCUGCUCAUUCAUCGACUACAUUUCCAAAACCCUCCUGCAGUUAGCUGUGGCCAUGUAACUGAGUUUUGGCAAAAGAUUGUGAGCAAAAGUAAUGUGUGCCACUUUAAAGCUUGGCCUUGAGAUCUCUCAGGAAACUCUAAGCUCUUUGACCCUUCUCACUGCUUGGAAUGGUGGAUUCCCAAGGAGACUCUGGAAGAUUUUUCUUUGAUUUUAUUUCCCUUUCAAUGGCCUACUCUCAGUGUUGGUGUCUGAGCUUCCUCUGUGUGGAAGAGAAGAUUUUUAAACCUGUAGAUUUAUAGCAAACAAUGAAUCUCUAAAUAGUUCUUCAGAUCUUGAAGUGUUCCCAUUUAUUAAUUAAUUUGAGAAGGUUUUGCCAGAUCUGAGGGAGAUUUUCAUAUUUUUUCUUCUCAUAUGGCAAAGAAGUUCUCAGGCCUAUGAAUUUAUAGAAAGAAAGUGAAAUCUGGCAAGAUCAUCAGAGACUGUUUAAUUGGGAUUUUUAUGCUUCAGAAAACAAGAAAAUCAAGCUCAGAGAUGAAAUCAGGUCUUCCAAACCUCCUGAAAGGAGUCUCCCUAUUCUAUAUUCAGGAAGGCAUUGGUCACAUUGAGGUCCUUUUGGGAUUCUCUAGUUUUCAUGUUUCAGUGGUAGACAAGGGAAAGGGAGUGUUUGAAGCAUCAAGAGCAUUUUCAGUGUGACUAUUCUCUGUCUUAACUCUCCUGAAGCACCAACCAUGAUCAAACUUGCAGUCUGAGUGUAAGAUAUAGAAGGAGACAGAAAUGAAAUGCAGUUACCCAAGAAAUAUUUAAAUACAAUUGUAUUAAAUACUGUGAUGGAGAGAUACAGACUACUGUGAGUGUGUAUAUAAAAACAGGGGGUUCUGAUCUGGUCAGGUGGAAUGGGGAAAGCUUCCAGGAGGAAGACAAAUUUAAGCUGAGACCUGAAGGGUGAUUAGAAAUUGUGCAACUGAGGGAGACAAUUCUAUUAAUAGCGCUAUAUCCCCUAGUGACUGGAAUGUAGGGUUUGAGACCUUGGGCUCAAAGGCUGACUGCCUGAACAAAAUUCUCUCCUUUACCACACUUUUAGCUCUGUUUUCUGUGGGCAAGACACUGAAGUUUUCUGUUUCUCCAGCCCUUUGUAUGAAAUUAGGGAAUAAUACUAUUAAGGUAUUGUGCUCUUAAACCAUUAUCACACAAUUUUGAUAAUCCCAUGUGAAACUUAAAUGCAAUAAUGCAUGUAAAGCAUUUUAACAGUGCCAAACACUCAGUAAACAAUCAACGAAUAUUGGCUAUUAUUAUUGCAGGAUUCUGCAGCUUACAAAACAUUUUCAUAGGCAUCAUGCAUUAUCUCAUCACCAAUGCUUUCCUAUAGUACUAGUUCUCGGGGCACUUCCUCUGCUGAUGGUACUAUGAUUCUAUUUGGAGAAAAUAAGCAAAUGCUGUGAACCCCUUUUUAGCUUUAUUAGGGGCUAGGAGUGUUCUGUGGGAGAAUUGAGACAGAGCUUGGGUCUCGGAGUCCCCAAGUAUAUUCAAGAAUCCUCCUAUGUAGACUGGAAGUUUACCAAUACUUAAAAUUCUAGCAGUGUCUUAGACGAAUAGAGGCACACAUUUAAAGGACUAGGUUACAUUAAGGAUUUUGAAAACAUGACAUUUAUGGUUUAACUGCUCCUCAGGAAUCAUGUCCUCAAACUGUUCAAUAAUGAUGUAAGAUGGGUGAGCAAACAAUUUAAGCUUUACUCUAAAAUAAUCUCAGCGGGAGCACAAUAUUGUAAACAGUCAUUGCUGCAUCUCCAUUCUGUGAAGUUCCCUUUCAUUGUUGUCCAUUUAUUCCUUUAAACUAAAAGUCUUUGACCAAGUUACUUAGCAUCUUCUAACAAUUCUUAAAAGUUCUUCCAAAGAAAUUCAGCGUAAGGCGGUGUGAGCUAUUACACUGACUACAAAGAAUGUCAUUUCUAUUGAAAAGAGCAAACUUUCCACUAAACAUAUUUGAUCUUCUUCUAUCUGGUAUUGUGGCUCAUCUGAGAAUAGGGAUGGUGGCUGUAUUAGUUCAUUCUCAUGCUGCUAAUAAAGACGUACCCA